CAAGCAGGCCGGAUGGUCGCUGCUGCAGAAAAAUGCUGUAGGAGAGGAAAGUCCGAGCUCCACAGGGCAGGGUGCCGGGCAAUACCCGGUGAAGGCGACUUCAAGGAAAGUGCAACAGAAAAUUACCGCUGAAAAGAUAUGCUUUUUGCAUAUCUAAAGCAAGGGUGAAAAGGCGAGGUAAGAGCUCACCGGCCUUACUUAGGCAACUAAGAGGCCGUGUAAACCCCAUCCGGAGCAAGAUCAAAUAGAGGAGCAUAAAGGGGCUGCCCGUCCCGCUUCAGGGUAGAAUCGCUUAAGGUAUCUGGCAACAGAUAUCUAAGAUAGAUGGCCAUUCAAGACAGAACUCGGCUUAUAGACCUGCUUGCCAA
rnacentral:RNase_P_RNA from 1 species